GACGAACGCUGGCGGCGUGCUUAGCACAUGCAAGUCGAACGGAAAGGCCCUGCUUUUGUGGGGUGCUCGAGUGGCGAACGGGUGAGUAACACGUGAGUAACCUGCCCUUGACUUUGGGAUAACUUCAGGAAACUGGGGCUAAUACCGGAUAGGAGCUCCUGCUGCAUGGUGGGGGUUGGAAAGUUUCGGCGGUUGGGGAUGGACUCGCGGCUUAUCAGCUUGUUGGUGGGGUAGUGGCUUACCAAGGCUUUGACGGGUAGCCGGCCUGAGAGGGUGACCGGCCACAUGGGGACUGAGAUACGGCCCAGACUCCUACGGGAGGCAGCAGUGGGGAAUAUUGCACAAUGGGCGGAAGCCUGAUGCAGCAACGCCGCGUGCGGGAUGACGGCCUUCGGGUUGUAAACCGCUUUCGCCUGUGACGAAGCGUGAGUGACGGUAAUGGGUAAAGAAGCACCGGCUAACUACGU
rnacentral:rRNA from 1 species